UCGCUACAGGACAUCUUAGAUGCCAUAGCUGUACACCUUAUGGAAAGUUUCGCACACACUUGCAUCAGCAAUUGUCGUCUCUGUCAUCUUUUGUAGUAGGACUGCGCCCAGACUUUUCGGUGUCAAACGUUAUUUUUCUCCUUUUUUCUCAAACUUGUUAGAGAAAAAAGUAGCAACUCUCAAACUUGUUUGAGAGUCGCUACUUCUUGGUACUCGAAGUGGUCGAUACACUAAGGAACAGCUAUACAACAGUUUAGUGCCCGAGGUCUUUGUCGCGUGGUUAAGUCCGAUGAUGCAACUUCGCGAGCCGUCCCUCUUGGCGCCGUGAAAUAUUUGUCGUUAAAUUACGAAGAGACGACAUUACGGCACGAACCAAUGACGUCACUGACCUUAUUUAUACGUCUGCAAUGUAGACGUCGAUAGAGGCCGUCUUCGAAGCCCCCCACUUUGCGUCAGGUUUCAUUCAACGCCAAAUAUGAGGUUUCUCGCUGUCGUUGUAGCAGUGAUUCUGGCCGUGACUGUGUGCUCAGAUUUUUCGGAUGCAAGAAAAUGGCAAUUGAACCAACUUCCGCCUCGGCUUAUCCGUCUUUACGCGGAUCACCUGGCCCUCAUAAGUUCUAAAAUGUACGCAAGGCGCCUGACCAGGAUCACCAUGGUUGUGCGGGAACUCACGCGUGUUACCAUCAGCUUUCAAGCCGUGGAAACAACGUGCAAACCGAGUAUACGCUUGCCAUCGCCAAAGUGGUGUCCGCAGAGAAAGAACGGACCCGUUUUUGCCUGCACCGGUACAGUGAUGCUUCUUGAUGAUUCGCAUCAGAGAGUCAAGUUCCCCAAACACGACAUGGUUCCAUGCAGGGUCAUCCAGAAUAAACCAGUUCAACGUACAACUGCCAAAUCAUAUUGAGGCUUACGAUGAAAGCUUCACACAGUGGGUAUAUUAGCCAUUGUUACCACCAUGGAUCUUCGUGAACGCCGCGCAAGAUUUCUCGCUGCAGUGAGAAGAGGGGACGGAUGUAACACUGAAGUGAAGAGAGCGCAGGCAAAAGUCUCGCAAGACAAUCAUUAAAUUACAAUAAC